rnacentral:rRNA from 1 species
GGGUUGUGAGGUUAAGCGACUAAGCGUACACGGUGGAUGCCCUGGCAGUCAGAGGCGAUGAAGGGCGUGCUAAUCUGCGAUAAGCGCCGGUAAGGUGAUAUGAACCGUUAUAACCGGCGAUACCCGAAUGGGGAAACCCAGUGUGACUCGUCACACUAUCAUUAACUGAAUCCAUAGGUUAAUGAGGCGAACCGGGGGAACUGAAACAUCUAAGUACCCCGAGGAAAAGAAAUCAACCGAGAUUCCCCCAGUAGCGGCGAGCGAACGGGGAGGAGCCCAGAGCCUGAAUCAGCAUGUGUGUUAGUGGAAGCGUCUGGAAAGGCGCGCGAUACAGGGUGACAGCCCCGUACACAAAAGCGCAUGUGCUGUGAGCUCGAUGAGUAGGGCGGGACACGUGGUAUCCUGUCUGAAUGUGGGGGGACCAUCCUCCAAGGCUAAAUACUCCUGACUGACCGAUAGUGAACCAGUACCGUGAGGGAAAGGCGAAAAGAACCCCGGCGAGGGGAGUGAAAAAGAACCUGAAACCGUGUACGUACAAGCAGUGGGAGCCCCACCACCAAAGCAUUCUCUGGUGUUGAAGGCCCUGCAAAGCAGCAUCGCGGUGGCGGAGCGUCGUUUGCGACGCCCAACACACAAAACAAGCGGUGAGUGCUUUGGGGUGGGGUGACUGCGUACCUUUUGUAUAAUGGGUCAGCGACUUAUAUUCUGUAGCAAGGUUAACCGUAUAGGGGAGCCGUAGGGAAACCGAGUCUUAACCGGGCGUUAAGUUGCAGGGUAUAGACCCGAAACCCGGUGAUCUAGCCAUGGGCAGGUUGAAGGUUGGGUAACACUAACUGGAGGACCGAACCGACUAAUGUUGAAAAAUUAGCGGAUGAC